CAUUACCUCGCCCUUUUUGUUCUCGCCGAUAGAUGGUGCACACCUCGUUAAUGAAAUAGGGUGUGACACAAAAACUAAUAAAACAUAAAUGUUUAGCAUAAAACAAUUGUUAAAUGUUUGUACCGUCACCUAUAUAAACCCCAAGUUUCGAAGCAAACGUUCUCUUUGUGCUGGAAAUGCUGAAACGUAAUAGUAGUGCGCGCGUGUGUAGUUUGUUUGUAGAAAUUGAGGUUAGUGUUAUUUGUAUAAGAAACCUCACUUUAGUGGAAGAAUUAUUAAUUAGUGUUUUUUUUUCUCUUUUUGUUAGUUGUUAGUAUGUCAUGCACAAUAUCGAAAAGUGUAUUAAGAAUAACUGUUAGUACGUUAAAAGCCAGUGUUAGUUAAACAAUUACGUUGGGUUAGUGAGUUAAAAUGUUAAAUGUUUCCUUAAUCUAAUUGUUAAAAUUGUUAUAGUUUCAUGCAAGACAAACAGUUAAUGUACGAAGAACAACCAAUUUAAGAAAAAUAUCCACAAGAAAAGGUCCAGACAUUGGGCCUUUUCUUUUUAUUUGUGGCCUUUCUUUGCCAGAAAUUUGGAACCGCAAGCAAUCCGGUUCGAAAGUGCGUGCACAGUGAGGAAUCCAGCCAGCAAAACCCGCCAUUGCGACGACCAGUACCCGCUAUAGUUCGUCUACAGUUGCAAGACGCCAUCUUGCCAAACGAACCCUGUCGGAGCAUGGUUCCGACUCCGGUUGGCCAAAUCUCCGACCAUCACCAUCCAAACGAUGAGCGGACUGAUCACCCGCUCGUCCAUUUCCGUCAAGCCAGACGAAAUGAAACAACCGCCAUCCAACAGCAGCAGUUCCCACACCGUUCAUCAACAACCCUGAAACCGCAAGUAGAACCACCAAAGAAAAUGUGACGUCACAAUAAAUUGUAUAUAUUAGUUAGAAAUUGUCUUGAGCCCAGUUCUUUCAAAGAGUGAAUUCCUUUUUAAUUGUUUUUCCACUAUUUUUGUCUUUUUCCGUAUUUCCGGGUUAAAAAGUAACCAUCAAGCCUCGACGUCCCAGUAUCUCCCCAUUAAGUGAAAGUUUGUUAAAAUCUUGUACCAUUUUUGUGUCAUUUGCUUUAUCCAUUUUUGUGUGUGUGUUCCCUUUAUUGGCCAUCUUAACUAUUACUACUCCUGCUCAUAUCAGUGCUUCCAACAGUCAGCCCUCCCGAGAAAAUGCUCAAACCACAGUUACGACCCUGAAGAUCCCUUACCCCUUAAUCCCUGAGCUUGCAGGUUACAAAUUGGCGCCCAACUAAAAAUGAUUUUGAGUUUUCAUUUUCCCUCGGAGGGGGCGGAAAAACAGUGCCCUGUUUUAAGAAAAUUUCCUUCGUUCUUCUAACGAAGAUUUUGCUAAGAUCGAUUGUGAACCACAAAUUGUUAUUUGGUAACCCCUGCUUCGGUAAAGGGCACCGUAGAAUAACCAAUUUUGUACCACAAAGCGCUCGAAAAACUGUUAGGAAAUAUUUUAAUACGCGUGAUUCAAUUUAGUAAAUUUUCAAUUGCUCGAAUCCAAUUGGAUCCGAGGAACACCGUAGAAUAACCAAUUAGACCCCGAACGGAAUUACUUCGCGGAAAUCCGUGAUUCUAAUAACUUCGACAUGAAAAUCCGAAUCGAAGUCGAUCCAACGCACGGUCGGCAUAUCACGCGACGGAACAAUAGAUUUCUUCGGUUUCACGAAUGAAACCAAACGACAAACAUACACUUGCGGGCAGUUUCAUCACGAUGAAACGGUUAGUGGGAUGGAGCGUUCGACGGAGAAAGAAUCGUCUUUUCGAAUCCCCUAAUCCACCGGUAUUUCGCGGAAAAUUAAAGCAGCCAUUCGUCGGUAUGGAAUGUAAACAACCACUUCAAUCGCAACAUCGAUUCGCGGAGAACCGAGAACACCCGAAGGUUCAAGUGGCAAACGAGAAAUCUGCGCAUGCGUGAGAGACCGAUUCGUAGAUAACCCGACUAAAACUAAAUACCAAAUUAGGCCCCGAAAUCUAAAAGUGAAAUUUUAAAAUGCUUUUCAUUUUUCAAUGAAUGAUUUGUACAAAAGGAGGCAUGACAUUUUUUUUUUUCAGAGAAAAACGCGUUUCUCGAAGAAUUACUAAAUUUAUUCAGUUUUCUCCUGACAAGAUCAGCGAGGUUAUUAGCAUUGAAUGCUCGGGUACCGAACCCGAAGUUAAUCAAUGAUGAAGUUGAGGGAGGUAUCGUCAUGAAGCGGACAUCAGCCAAUCUCUGUGGGAGUGACGGCUAUGCUCUGCGGGAAUCUCUCGAACCCUCUCGUAUCGAUCGGGACCAACUCGAAGGAAAGAGUUGGCGGUUUUGCAUAUCCCAUCGCGUUCCAUAUUCGGUACAAGGUCAGCAGUUGAUCCUGAAACCGAAACUGAUCAAUGAAAUCUUCAGAUCAGUCGUUAUGAAUGAGUACUCACCAAUGAACCGUCCGGACGCGGGCAUCAAAGAAGCACGAAGCUUGCUGAAAAUAGAAUAACAAAUUAGUAGUCAACUCUAGUGUUUACAUAAUAUUACCCUUACCUGACAAACCUCAUUAUCGCCUCCGUAGUUUGAAGAAUUUCCUUGGGCCGAUUCCCCUAACAGUUAGAUGGAAGCCGACCGGUAAAUAAUGAUAGCGAAUUCGGACCCGCUUUUUCGGAAACUUUUUGCGCGGAUAACAUUUUGUUGUUUCUUUUUAGUCGGGAUAGUCGCGGGUAAACGUCGAACAACUCGGUUUCGCGGACCGUUGUUUUCGCGUCGAACGUAAACAUUAGCCAGUGUGACAAGUCAGUCGAUCCCAUAUACCCAUGUAUGUGUAAUGAGUUACCACUUGUACAUCUUUAUUUCCUCGCCUGGGCGAAGAAGAUAAUUAGAUUUUGAAAAGUGUCAGACAGCAGCAUCAUGAAUGCGAGAAUCAGAAAUAGAACAUGUAAAUCAAAAUGAAAAUUCUCUUUCAUUUUCAGGAGGGUCGACGGGGCAUUGUAACCGUUGGUUCCAAGGUAGUCUUGUGGCUCCUCCACAAUUAUUAGAUUUUUCCAAUUUCCUUUCCUAGAUAUCCCCUCAAUACGCCCCUGGUAAAUAUUUCCCAUCAAACUUCGGGUCUGUGACACUCAUAUUAGAAGUGGUGAGAGUAUGAGUGUGUCACACUCUCAUAAGCAGAGCUGUCAUGUUGGGAGUGUCACUGAGGUCGAGCAGUUAGAAGAUCGGGGCAAAACAUUACCUCGCCCUUUUUGUUCUCGCCGAUAGAUGGUGCACACCUCGUUAAUGAAAUAGGGUGUGACACAAAAACUAAUAAAACAUAAAUGUUUAGCAUAAAACAAUUGUUAAAUGUUUGUACCGUCACCUAUAUAAACCCCAAGUUUCGAAGCAAACGUUCUCUUUGUGCUGGAAAUGCUGAAACGUAAUAGUAGUGCGCGCGUGUGUAGUUUGUUUGUAGAAAUUGAGGUUAGUGUUAUUUGUAUAAGAAACCUCACUUUAGUGGAAGAAUUAUUAAUUAGUGUUUUUUUUUCUCUUUUUGUUAGUUGUUAGUAUGUCAUGCACAAUAUCGAAAAGUGUAUUAAGAAUAACUGUUAGUACGUUAAAAGCCAGUGUUAGUUAAACAAUUACGUUGGGUUAGUGAGUUAAAAUGUUAAAUGUUUCCUUAAUCUAAUUGUUAAAAUUGUUAUAGUUUCAUGCAAGACAAACAGUUAAUGUACGAAGAACAACCAAUUUAAGAAAAAUAUCCACAAGAAAAGGUAA